rnacentral:rRNA from 1 species
AGUGAACGCUGGCGGUAGGCCUAACACAUGCAAGUCGAACGGCAGCACAGUAAGAGCUUGCUCUUACGGGUGGCGAGUGGCGGACGGUUGAUGAAUACAUCGGAAUCUACUUUUUCGUGGGGGAUAACGUAGGGAAACUUACGCUAAUACCGCAUACGACCUACGGGUGAAAGCAGGGGAUCUUCGGACCUUGCGCGAUUGAAUGAGCCGAUGUCGGAUUAGCUAGUUGGCGGGGUAAAGGCCCACCAAGGCGACGAUCCGUAGCUGGUCUGAGAGGAUGAUCAGCCACACUGGAACUGAGACACGGUCCAGACUCCUACGGGAGGCAGCAGUGGGGAAUAUUGGACAAUGGGCGAAAGCCUGAUCCAGCCAUACCGCGUGGGUGAAGAAGGACUUCGGGUUGUAAAGCCCUUUUGGUGGGAAAGAAAAGCAGCAGGUUAAUACCCCGCUGUUCUGACGGUACCCAAAGAAUAAGCACCGGCUAACUUCGUG